CGCCUCGCAGACGGAUGGACGCUCCCAGUCGUCAGUCAGAAACCCGGUCGUUCUGAGAUUAUACUGUCAUAACUUGAUCUAGAUAAUACUAGCGAAAGGACAUGCGUGGCACUGAUUG
rnacentral:ncRNA from 1 species